UCAACAUGGAUCUGGGACCAUGAGUUUGAUGACGUGCAUUAAAAGACCUGGAACUUGACAUCGACAGCAACAAACUCAAAAACAGCACAUGCAAAAACUGCUGUUUUAGUCAGAUUUUCUCAAUGAAGCUUCGUUGUACCCACAGAGCAUCACUCCUGGAAACGAGCAGAGCUCCCCGGGCCUUAGCUGGAAGGCAGAUGUAGAUGCAAACCCACAACAGGAGGACUCUCCACACAACAGGCAUGCCUGGGAAACAGAAGUGCCUCUUCCCCGGCAUGGCUGAGAACAAGUCUGGAAGGAAUCUGAGGCAUGUGGGGAUCAAGUCUUCCAGUAAGAGUUGUACUCCGCCCACACUGUGCAGGAGGAGGGGCCAUCCAUGUCCAAAGCUCUUGUUUUCAGUAUGAUUGUGUUGAAACAAGAUUGUCCAGACAGACAGCAACCUUACAAGGCUGAUUGAACCGAGGCGGGGACGGAGGAGAGGGAGGAACCAGCAUCUUUGGACACAGAACGAGGCUGUGAGGAACACAU